GACGAACGCUGGCGGCGUGCCUAAUACAUGCAAGUAGAACGCUGAAGAGAGGAGCUUGCUCUUCUUGGAUGAGUUGCGAACGGGUGAGUAACGCGUAGGUAACCUACCUUGUAGCGGGGGAUAACUAUUGGAAACGAUAGCUAAUACCGCAUAACAAUGGAUGACACAUGUCAUUUAUUUGAAAGGGGCAAUUGCUCCACUACAAGAUGGACCUGCGUUGUAUUAGCUAGUAGGUGAGGUAAUGGCUCACCUAGGCGACGAUACAUAGCCGACCUGAGAGGGUGAUCGGCCACACUGGGACUGAGACACGGCCCAGACUCCUACGGGAGGCAGCAGUAGGGAAUCUUCGGCAAUGGGGGCAACCCUGACCGAGCAACGCCGCGUGAGUGAAGAAGGUUUUCGGAUCGUAAAGCUCUGUUGUAAGUCAAGAACGGGUGUGAGAGUGGAAAGUUCACACUGUGACGGUAGCUUACCAGAAAGGGACGGCUAACUACGUGCCAGCAGCCGCGGUAAUACGUAGGUCCCGAGCGUUGUCCGGAUUUAUUGGGCGUAAAGCGAGCGCAGGCGGUUUGAUAAGUCUGAAGUUAAAGGCUGUGGCUCAACCAUAGUUCGCUUUGGAAACUGUCAAACUUGAGUGCAGAAGGGGAGAGUGGAAUUCCAUGUGUAGCGGUGAAAUGCGUAGAUAUAUGGAGGAACACCGGUGGCGAAAGCGGCUCUCUGGUCUGUAACUGACGCUGAGGCUCGAAAGCGUGGGGAGCGAACAGGAUUAGAUACCCUGGUAGUCCACGCCGUAAACGAUGAGUGCUAGGUGUUGGAUCCUUUCCGGGAUUCAGUGCCGCAGCUAACGCAUUAAGCACUCCGCCUGGGGAGUACGACCGCAAGGUUGAAACUCAAAGGAAUUGACGGGGGCCCGCACAAGCGGUGGAGCAUGUGGUUUAAUUCGAAGCAACGCGAAGAACCUUACCAGGUCUUGACAUCCCGAUGCUAUUUCUAGAGAUAGAAAGUUACUUCGGUACAUCGGUGACAGGUGGUGCAUGGUUGUCGUCAGCUCGUGUCGUGAGAUGUUGGGUUAAGUCCCGCAACGAGCGCAACCCCUAUUGUUAGUUGCCAUCAUUCAGUUGGGCACUCUAGCGAGACUGCCGGUAAUAAACCGGAGGAAGGUGGGGAUGACGUCAAAUCAUCAUGCCCCUUAUGACCUGGGCUACACACGUGCUACAAUGGUUGGUACAACGAGUUGCGAGUCGGUGACGGCGAGCUAAUCUCUUAAAGCCAAUCUCAGUUCGGAUUGUAGGCUGCAACUCGCCUACAUGAAGUCGGAAUCGCUAGUAAUCGCGGAUCAGCACGCCGCGGUGAAUACGUUCCCGGGCCU
rnacentral:rRNA from 1 species